UGCGGGGUAGGACAGCCGGGAGUGUCCGCCGGGCUCAUGACUCGGAGAUCGCCGGUUCGAAUCAGCCCCCGCAA
rnacentral:tRNA from 1 species